GGAUUUCAAAACAUGAAAGAAUUGAAGUCUUUGCAUAAUCAUGGGAAAUCUCACAAUUCUAUCUCAUACAUAUACAUAAUUCUAGUAUCAAAUAUGAGAGCUAAUAUAAUUCAACUAUGAACUCACGGACGGUAGAGUUUCAUUACAAAGGAACAAACCCGAAUAAUCCAAAUAACCCUAAUAGACAUAACUGGGUCCGAUCGGGUCAAAAUGGAUUCACAAUCCGUUUUCUUCACAAUAAUCUUAAAAAAUUCCUUACUCUAAGAUAAUGAGUAGACCAUUUACAAUGACUUGAUUAAUCUGUAAAACAGGUUUUAAAAAUUCAACACA
rnacentral:lncRNA from 1 species